rnacentral:lncRNA from 1 species
CCAGCUCCCCCCCACAGCCACCGAAGGGGACCCGAACCUCAACUCGGCCCACAGGGAACAGCACCCAGGGCGAGCGGCCGGGGCGGGAUGNGGGGCCGCCGGACAGGUCCCCUGGGCCACAGGCCUUAGCGCCCGGCGGCCCCCACCCCUGCAGCUGCCGGUCAGGUGCCGGCCGGGACCAGCUUUCGGAGAUGCCCCAGAUGCUUCUUCUUGGGGGCACCGGGCAGUCUCGAAAGUGUGCAACGAGAGUCCUAUUUUACUCCCGCCCUCCUGCCCCCCGACCCAGUUUGGGUGCAGGUCCUGCAGAUCUCCGCUGAGACGAUCCCUUUCCUGGCUGACCAGGGCUUCGGGACACCUCAUGGCCCCAUCCUGUUUCAUUCCUCACAGGGGCCUGACACCUGAUCCCAGCGGUGACUGCACGGUCCCCACGGGCAGGAGGUGGCAAUGCGACCCUGGCCCUCCCUGGCCAGCUCGGACGUGUCCGCGGCCCCCAGGGGAGCCCCCAGCUCCCCCCUACAGCCACCGAAGGGGACCCGAACCUCAACUCGGCCCACAGGAAACAGCACCCAGGGCGAGCGGCCGGGGCGGGACAUGGGGUUCCUGAGGAUGGAGCAAGAGAUCAGAGACGACAGCGCACACCGAGCAGCGCAGCGCCUGGCUGCACGCCAAGCCGGGGCUCAGCCGUCCUCCCCCAUUUACCUCCCGCCGCUUGUGUCCUCAUUCACUCGCGGAGCGUCUACGGAAAAGGAGGCCGACGCGGGGAGUGCUGUGGAGGCUGGUGCCAUCGGCGACAGGGGCGGCAGGGACGCUCUGCAGCAAAGGCCCGAGAAAGUGGAGUAGCCCUGUGGCUGUGGGAGCCAGGAAUGCUCCAGAAAAUGGCUGGGCCAGUGUGGUCCCCUGACGCAGGAGCACGCCAGAGGUGUUUGCUUCCAUGGGACACUGGGAGGCUGGGAAGCUGGAUGAGGAGGCUGGGAGGCUGGAGGAGGAGGCUGAGAGGCUGGAGGAGGAGGCUAGGAGGCUGGGAGGCUGGGAGGCUGGGAUGCUGGAGGAGGAGGCGAGGGGGCUGGGAGGCUGGAUGAGGAGGCUGAGAGGCUGGAGGAGGAGGGGAGGAGGCUGGGAGGCUGGGAGGCUGGGAUGCUGGAGGAGGAGGCUAGGAGGCUGGGAGGC